rnacentral:lncRNA from 1 species
GUUUUGGAAGGGUCCCACCACCCCAUACCUCCUGCUUCCUCCAUGGGGCUGGUAUUUUGUUCCCGGCCCCCACCAGCGGUAUCCCAGCGGGAGAUCCCCUCCAUCGAUCUACUGGCUCUCGCCUGGAGUUGGUCUCUGAAGCAAACUGCUGCCUUUACCAGAAGAUCUGGCGAAGUGGCUCCCACCCCCCUCUUUCGGCCUUCCAGGCUUGUGUCGUGGGAAAUCACACACCCGGUUGUUCUCUACGUUUUGUCCUACCUGGUGCUCCUCCUCGCCAAUCCUACUGCCUCUCAAUCGCUCAGAAGAGGUUGGCUGAUUGUGGGGAUGGUCUAGAUUGCUUCUGAUGGACUCUAGGGAGAGAAACCCCAGGAUCUAUUUUUCUGUCUGAUGCUACAGAGGUUUGUGGACUCUGGAUUCCAGAACCUCCAUUCAGGGAUGGGCUCCUAACUAAGACCGAGAAGAGCUUAACAAGUCUAGUUGACGACUUCAAAGGGUCCUCAGCCACCAUGAAUGGAGUAUCACCAUGCCUUCAUGGCCAACUGCACUUUCUGGUUGUCUUCUGUCCCUAAGUCAUCACUGAUCAACCCAGACCACCCUAAGCUUCUCAACCAAAGAGUUCAGGACUACACAUUGUCUAUAUCCUGAACUUGUGACAUGGAAAUGUUUGUCUCCUGCUGCUGAAGAAGCAAGAGGACUCACCAAAAUGAAGUUCUUCUAGGAACUAGCAUGUUUGGUCCUCGCCAAGGAAAAACCUAUUGGCUGUCCCUAGGAUCUCCAAAGCGCUUAGAUUGUCUGUGGCACCACCAGAUUCCUCGACAGACCUCUGAAAAUCCAUAUCUUCUGAUAUUCCAGGUGUCCAACAAAUCUCCAGUUCUCUGGAUCUCCAGCUAGACAACACAGAGCCUUGAGAAACUUCUAUAGAUAACUCCUGGACGAUUGCUUUCUUUGGAGUUGCAAGACGUUUUUGGGGAGGGAGGUUUCUUAUAUACUAGGAAAAGUAGUGUAGCUCAGACGAUUCCACAGGAUUGUGCCCAGACGAAUUUUUUUUGAUGCGUAUUUUGCACUUUCACGCCCAUGAUUUUUUCUAAACUUUAAUAUAAUCCCAUCUCUGCCGCAUGUUCGUUACCACUAAAUGUUGGGCUCAGCCUACUGUUAGUUUCUUCGUGCUUCAGGACUCUGGAGAGUCAGUGCUCCUCCUUGGUGCUCCCUGGAGUUGAUGCCCAACAAAAGUCAAACAAGCCAGCGUUAGCCAAAUUGGAAUUGCAGCUCAGCUGAACCAGAGGCUCCUGGCCAGAGACAGAGAACGGCUUGCCAGAUUGAUGUCUGGCCAUCCAAAGGGAGUCAUGGAGGACUGAAGCCGGUCUGGGUGGAGCCGAGCCAUGUAGAAACGACUUCGACGGGCAGGAGGGAUGUGCACGGGGACUCGGAGGUAACUGCAGCCCGACUGGC